rnacentral:rRNA from 1 species
AUUGAACGCUGGCGGCAGGCUUAACACAUGCAAGUCGAGCGGAGCGGCGGACGGGUGAGUAAUGCCUAGGAAUCUGCCUGGUCGUGGGGAAUCACGUCCGGAAACUGGCGCUACUACCGCAUACUAUCAGAUGAGCCUAGGGCGGAUUAGCUAGUUGGUGUGGUAAAGGCCUACCAAGGCGACGAUCCGUAACUGGUCUGAGAGGAUGAUCAGUCACACUGGAACUGAGACAGGGUCCAGACACCUACGGGGGGCAGCAGUGGGGAAUAGUGGACAAGGGGCGAAAGCCUGAUCCAGCCAUGCCGCGUGUGUGAAGAAGGUCUUCGGAUGGUAAAGCACUUUAAGUUGGGAGGCGUUACCAAAAGAAUAAGCACCGGCUAACUUCGUGCCAGCAGCCGCGGUAAUUC